CCUACGGGUGGCUGCAGUGAGGAAUAUUGGUCAAUGGGCGCGAUCCUUAACCAUCCAAUUCUCUUUAUUGAAGACGGUCCUAUGGAUUGUAAACCUCUUUUGUCGGGGAGCAAAAGACGCCACGCGUGGCGUUCCGAGAGUACCCGAAGAAAAAGCAUCGGCUAACUCCGUGCCAGCAGCCGCGGUAAUACGGAGGAUGCGAGCGUUAUCCGGAUUUAUUGGGUUUAAAGGGUGCGCAGGCGGAAGAUCAAGUCAGCGGUAAAAUUGAGAGGCUCAACCUCUUCGAGCCGUUGAAACUGGUUUUCUUGAGUGAGCGAGAAGUAUGCGGAAUGCGUGGUGUAGCGGUGAAAUGCAUAGAUAUCACGCAGAACUCCGAUUGCGAAGGCAGCAUACCGGCGCUCAACUGACGCUCAUGCACGAAAGCGCGGGUAUCGAACAGGAUUAGAUACCCUUGUAGUC
rnacentral:rRNA from 1 species